rnacentral:rRNA from 1 species
CCUGCGGAAGGAUCAUUAUUGAAUUAAACCCUGGUCGGGUUGUUGCUGGCCUCUAGAGGCAUGUGCACGCCUGCCAUCGUUUUCAACCACCUGUGCACCUUUUGUAGACUUUUGGAUACCUUUCGGGGGGUCAAACUCCCGGCUUCGGGGGCUGCCGCUUGGCUUCCCUCGCAUUUCCGGUCUAUGCAUUUCAUACACUCCGUAAAGAAUGUAUUAGAAUGUCUUGUUAUUGGCCUCAGUGCCUUUAAUCAAAUACAACUUUCAGCAACGGAUCUCUUGGCUCUCGCAUCGAUGAAGAACGCAGCGAAAUGCGAUAAGUAAUGUGAAUUGCAGAAUUCAGUGAAUCAUCGAAUCUUUGAACGCACCUUGCGCUCCUUGGUAUUCCGAGGAGCAUGCCUGUUUGAGUGUCAUUAAAUUCUCAACCUAACCAGCUUUUGUGAGCUUGGGAUAGGCUUGGAUUGUGGGGGUUUCUUGCGGGCUUCAUCUAGAGGUCGGCUCCCCUUAAAAGCAUUAGUGGAACCUUUUGUUGACCUGUUUCCUGGUGUGAUAAUUAUCUACAUCGUGUGCAGUCAGCUAUCUAACAGGUUUCUGCUUCCAACUCGUAUCACCCUUUACUUGGGGGGGACGCUUUGACCAUUUGACCUCAAAUCAGGUAGGACUACCCGCUGAACUUAAGCAUAUCAAUAAGCGGAGGAAAAGAAACUAACAAGGAUUCCCCUAGUAACUGCGAGUGAAGCGGGAAAAGCUCAAAUUUAAAAUCUGGUAGUCUCUGGCUGCCCGAG